rnacentral:rRNA from 1 species
UACGAAGGGGGCUAGCGUUGCCCGGAAUCACUGGGCGUAAAGCGCACGUAGGCGGAUUGUUAAGUCAGGGGUGAAAUCCUGGAGCUCAACUCCAGAACUGCCUUUGAUACUGGCGAUCUUGAGUCCGGGAGAGGUGAGUGGAACUGCGAGUGUAGAGGUGAAAUUCGUAGAUAUUCGCAAGAACACCAGUGGCGAAGGCGGCUCACUGGCCCGGUACUGACGCUGAGGUGCGAAAGCGUGGGGAGCAAACAGG